rnacentral:rRNA from 1 species
AUUGAACGCUGGCGGCAUGCCUUACACAUGCAAGUCGAACGGCAGCGGGGGAGAAGCUUGCUUUUCCUGCCGAAGAAUAGCGAACGGGUGAGUAAUACAUCGGAACGUGCCCUGUAGUGGGGGAUAACUAGUCGAAAGAUUAGCUAAUACCGCAUACGACCUGAGGGUGAAAGUGGGGGACCGCAAGGCCUCAUGCUAUAGGAGCGGCCGAUGUCUGAUUAGCUAGUUGGUGGGGUAAAGGCCUACCAAGGCGACGAUCAGGAGCUGGUCUGAGAGGACGAUCAGCCACACUGGGACUGAGACACGGCCCAGACUCCUACGGGAGGCAGCAGUGGGGAAUUUUGGACAAUGGGCGAAAGCCUGAUCCAGCAAUGCCGCGUGUGUGAAGAAGGCCUUCGGGUUGUAAAGCACUUUUGUCCGGAAAGAAAUGGCUCUGGUUAAUACCUGGGGUCGAUGACGGUACCGGAAGAAUAAGGACCGGCUAACUACGUGCCAGCCGCCGCGGUAA